GCAUAUCAAUAAGCGGAGGAAAAGAAACUAACAAGGAUUCCCUUAGUAACGGCGAGUGAAGCGGGAAGAGCUCAAAUUUGAAAUCUUCAAGGUUCUACCUUGACGAAUUGUAGUUUAAAGAAGUGUUUUCUGUUAGAUGAGUAGCAAAAGUUCCUUGGAAUGGGACAUCAUAGAGGGUGAGAAUCCCGUAUUUGGUUAUUCAUUCUAGCUUUGUGAUACACUUUCAAAGAGUCGGAUUGUUUGGGAAUGCAGUCCAAAAUGGGUGGUAAAUUUCAUCUAAAGCUAAAUAUUGGCGAGAGACCGAUAGCGAACAAGUACCGUGAGGGAAAGAUGAAAAGAACUUUGAGAAGAGAGUUAAACAGUACGUGAAAUUGUCAAAAGGGAAGCGUUCGACACCAGUGUUGUUUUUCCAAAAAUCAAUUACGAAUGGCUUGAUUUUGUGUUGUAUUGACCUUAUCAGCUUUCUGCACUUUUUUCGAGUCUUUCUUAAUGCACUUUAUGGUUAACAAGUCAACAUCAAUUUCUUUUGUUGUAAAAGAGUAUUCGGAAGGUGGCUUUCUUUUCGGAGAAAGUGUUUAUAGCCCUAUACUUCUACAAUCGGAGAGAUUGAGGUCUGCAGCGUAGAUCCUUCGGGGUUAGAUACACUUGUGCUAAGUUGUAGCUUUUCAUAGACAACUUGUUGACUAUGUUUAGUCAUGCGGCUUACUCGCUUGUGCUAUUUUACCUACGCUUAGGAUGUUGACAAAAUGGUUUUAAACGACCCGUCUUGAAACACGGACC
rnacentral:rRNA from 1 species